rnacentral:rRNA from 3 species
AUGACGCUGGCGGCAGGCCUACACAUGCAGUCGAGCGGAUGAGUGGAGCUUGCUCCAUGAUUCAGCGGCGGACGGGUGAGUAAUGCCUAGGAAUCUGCCUGGUAGUGGGGGACAACGUUUCGAAAGGAACGCUAAUACCGCAUACGUCCUACGGGAGAAAGUGGGGGAUCUUCGGACCUCACGCUAUCAGAUGAGCCUAGGUCGGAUUAGCUAGUUGGUGAGGUAAAGGCUCACCAAGGCGACGAUCCGUAACUGGUCUGAGAGGAUGAUCAGUCACACUGGAACUGAGACACGGUCCAGACUCCUACGGGAGGCAGCAGUGGGGAAUAUUGGACAAUGGGCGAAAGCCUGAUCCAGCCAUGCCGCGUGUGUGAAGAAGGUCUUCGGAUUGUAAAGCACUUUAAGUUGGGAGGAAGGGCAGUAAGUUAAUACCUUGCUGUUUUGACGUUACCAACAGAAUAAGCACCGGCUAACUUCGUGCAAGCCCGCCGCGGUAUA